rnacentral:RNase_P_RNA from 1 species
UUAACAGGUCUGACUGCCGCCGGAAGGCUUGUUCUUCCGGAGGAAAGUCCGGGCUCCAUAGAGAAUGAUGCCGGGUAAUUCCCGGGCGUUCCCUUAUUGGGAACGACAGAAAGUGUCACAGAAAACAAACCGCCUUCUGCAAGUCAGAAGGUAAGGGUGAAAAGGCGGGGUAAGAGCCCACCGCUCCAUCGGCAACGAGGGAGGCACGAUAAACCUCAUCAGGAGCAAAAUCAAGCAGCAGACCGGGUUUCUCGCCUAAAGUCUGCGGGUAGAUUGCUAAAGUUCAGGGGCAACCCUGGAAUAAGAUAGAUGGCAGUCCUAAGACAGAACCCGGCUUACAGACCUGUUUUUAUU